rnacentral:rRNA from 1 species
AUUGAACGCUGGCGGCAGGCCUAACACAUGCAAGUCGAGCGGAGCGGCGGACGGGUGAGUAAUGCCUAGGAAUCUGCAUGGUAGUGGGGGAUAAAGUCCGGAAACGGGCGCUAAUACCGCAUACUAUCAGAUGAGCCUAGGGCGGAUUAGCUAGUUGGUGGGUUAAAGGCCUACCAAGGCGACGAUCCGUAACUGUUCUGAGUGGAUGAUCAGUCAAACUGGAACGGAGACACGGCCCAUACUCCUACGGGAGGCAGCAUGGGGGAAUAUUGGACAAUGGGCGAAAGCCGGAUCCAGCAAUGCCGCGUGUGUGAAGAAGGUCUUCGGAUUGUAAAGCACUUUAAGUUGGGAGGCGUUACCAACAGAAUAAGCACCGGCUAACUUCGUGCCAGCAGCCGCGGUAAUUC